rnacentral:rRNA from 1 species
UGACGCUGAGGCACGAAAAGCGUGGGUAUCGAACAGGAUUUAGAUACCCUGGUAGUCCACGCGGUAAACGAUGAUAAACUGGCUGUUCGCCGCGAUUGAACGGUGAGCGGCUGAGCGAAAGCGUUAAGUUAUCCACCUGGGGAGUACGCCGGCAACGGUGAAACUCAAAGGAAUUGACGGGAGCCCGGCACAAGCGGAGGAACAUGUGGUUUAAUUCAAUGAUACGCGAGGAACCUUACCCGGGCUCAAACGGUGCGUGACGGCGCGUGAAAGCGCGCUUUCGCAAGACACGCUCCGAGGUGCUGCAUGGUUGUCGUCAGCUCGUGCCGUGAAUGUCGGCUUAAGUGCCAUAACGAGCGCAACCCCCAUCCCCAGUUGCCAGCAGGUGAAGCCGGGCCCUCUAGGGAGACUGCCGGCGCAAGCUGCGAGGAAGGCGGGGAUGACGUCAAAUCAGCACGGCCUUUACGUCCGGGGCGACACGCGUGUUACAAUGGCGGGGCACAACGGGGAGCCAGGGAGGGACGCCGAGAGGAUCCCGAAAACCCGUCUCAGUUCGGAUCGGAGUCUGCAAACCGACUCCGUGAAGCGGAUUCGCUAGUA